AUGCAUAAAGAGUUGUAUAUUGUGCUUAGUAUUAGUUUUGGUGUAUCAGUUUUCGUCAUUGGGUAGUGUCGGUUUCUAGCCUGAUAGAGAAACAAAGAAGGAAAGCAUACUAGGGUGAGGACGAGAGAGAGACGGGGAUUGUCUUCUCCGGUAAAGAUGGUAGUGGCGAGACGAUGGUGGUUGAUAGAGGCAACGGCCAUGGUGACGACUACGUUGUUUUUCACGCUGAUGGUGACCACGGAGUUGUUUUUUGCUCCGGUGGUGGCAAGGUCGUGGAAACAAUGGUUAUGGUUCCGUAAAUCCAACUACACCUCGUUUUUUACAUCAAAGAAACCUAAUGUUAGCCACCCGUUGUCAUUCCGCUUGACGUCCGAGACUGUAUCCAGGGUUUCGGUGGUGGCUAUGUUAAUGGGAGAAAUAUGAUUGUUGCUGGUGGCUAUGUCAAUGGAAUAAAUACGUAUGUUGCUGCGAUUGGCUAUAAAGAAGUUCGAUUGGCUACAAAAUAGGAUCAUGAAUCUGCUCAAUUCUUUAUGAUUGGAAUUGACGGAGAGUUUUAAGCGGAUUCGGUGAAUUGGAUGAAGAAGGAUGGUUCUGGAAGAUUACCGGCUGUCGUUACUACUGGAGGAACUGAUUUGAAACAAGCAAUUAAAGCACUGAAUGAUGAUAAUAAGUGGAGAUGUUGGCGAAGGGACAUCGCAAAAGAAUUUAAAGCCACUGAAAGCGAAAACCACUAAGGCUGAGAGGCGUGUUUUACAGGAACCUCAACGAGCUGCGAAAGCUUCUGCUAAAGGUGCAGCCGCCGCUACUAUCCGUAUCUGAACUUGGCAGAAGGUGGUCACAGAAGCUACGCCACUGGUCAGAGAUACGGUGUGUACCCACACCAUCUCUACCAGUAUUAAUCCGCGAAAUGCUCAAAGAAGUUGAUCAAGAUACUUGAAAGGUGGUAGUAGAACAAAAGGAAUAGGGCAAUGGUUGGAUGAAAAUGGGUUCGAAUCGCGAGUAAAAGGAAUGGGCUUUUUUUAUUCAUGGGUGGGCACCACAAGUUCUGAGCCUAUUGUACCGAGUUGUGGGUAUUUUGUUGACACAUUCAUGAGCCUACGGUAUUUUAGUUUUGGUUGUUGUUGUAUAAUAAAACAAAUCGCAAUUGAAUUACUUAGGUUUUUCGCACGUUUUCGCCGCCGCAACGCGCGGCGGGUAAUUAAAUCCACCGGCGGAACUAGAGGGGUCAAAUUUAGAUAAAAUGAUGUGGUCUAAAUCUGAUUGAUUGCACGCCAUUUUGUGGCUAAUUUCGUUGCCCGUAGCGUAACGCACGGGUCACUUUUCUAGUUAAAUACAAAUAUUAAAUAAAGCUAAAACAAAACAUUCUUAUUG